rnacentral:rRNA from 1 species
UACGUAGGGGGCUAGCGUUGUCCGGAUUUAUUGGGCGUAAAGAGCGUGUAGGCGGUUUGGUAGGUCCGCUGUGAAAACUCGAGGCUCAACCUCGAGACGCCGGUGGAAACCAUCAGGCUAGAGUCCGGAAGAGGAGAGUGGAAUUCCUGGUGUAGCGGUGAAAUGCGCAGAUAUCAGGAAGAACACCCGUGGCUAAGGCGGCUCUCUAGUACGGUACUGACGCUGAGACGCGAAAGCGUGGGGAGCAAACAGG